AUCCAGAUGAGAAGUCUCAAAUAAGACGAAACGCGCGUGCUGGAU
rnacentral:hammerhead_ribozyme from 1 species